AUUGAUCGCUGGCGGCAUGCCUUACACAUGCAAGUCGAACGGCAGCGCGGACUUCGGUCUGGCGGCGAGUGGCGAACGGGUGAGUAAUACAUCGGAACGUACCCUGUUGUGGGGGAUAACUGGUCGAAAGAUUAGCUAAUACCGCAUACGACCUGAGGGUGAAAGUGGGGGACCGCAAGGCCUCACGCAGCAGGAGCGGCCGAUGUCUGAUUAGCUAGUUGGUGGGGUAAAGGCCCACCAAGGCGACGAUCAGUAGCUAGUCUGAGAGGACGAUCAGCCACACUGGGACUGAGACACGGCCCAGACUCCUACGGGAGGCAGCAGUGGGGAAUUUUGGACAAUGGGGGCAACCCUGAUCCAGCAAUGCCGCGUGUGUGAAGAAGGCCUUCGGGUUGUAAAGCACUUUUGUCCGGAAAGAAAUCGCGCUGGUUAAUACCUGGCGUGGAUGACGGUACCGGAAGAAUAAGCACCGGCUAACUACGUG
rnacentral:rRNA from 1 species